GCUAAUAAUCUAGCUCUACUACUCCACAUGAGACUAUUCUCCCAGACACAAAUAAACAAAACAUUUACUCAUUUUAGUAAAGGAGAUUGAAAAAUUAAUUGAAGCAAUAAAACUAGUACCGCAAGGGAAAGAUGAAAUAUAAAUGAAAAUCUUUAAAGCAAAAAAUAGUAGAGAUUUACCCUCGUACCUUUUGCAUCAUGGUUCAACUAGUCCAAUCAAGCAAAAAGCAUUACAGUUUGACCCCCCGAAACUUAGGCGAGCUACUUCAGGGCAGCUUUAUGAGCUAACCCGUCUCUGUUGCAAAAGAGUGGGAAGACCCUUAAGUAGCGGCGACAUACCUAACGAGCCUAGUGAUAGCUGGUUACCUGAGAAAAGAAUUUAAGUCCAACCUAAAAUCCACCCUCUUACACUAAAAACCCCCAUGAUUUUAGAGCAAUUCAAAUAAGGUACAGCCUAUUUGAAACAGGAUACAACCUCACCAGACGGGUAAAAUUUAUUAAAUAACCUCAAGUAGGCCUAAAAGCAGCCAUCUUUUUAAAAGCGUCACAGCUUAAUCUUUAUCAACUUCCAAUUCCUCAACCCCAUUUUAACCCUCACUUAGUACCGGGUAGAUCUAUAUUUUUAUAGAAAUUAUUAUGUUGAAACUAGUAACAAGAAGAAUAGACCUUCUCUUAAAUGCAAACAUAAAUCAGAAAGGACAGACCACUGACAAUUAACGCCUAUGACCACCAAUCAGCAACCUCCCAAGAAAAACCUUAUAUUUCCCACGUUAACCUGACACAAGAGCAUUUCAAGAAAGAUUAAAAGAAGGAGAAGGAACUCGGCAAAUAUUAACCCCGCCUGUUUACCAAAAACAUCGCCUCUUGAACAAAAAUAAGAGGUCCAGCCUGCCCAGUGACAAAUGUUCAACGGCCGCGGUAUCCUAACCGUGCGAAGGUAGCGUAAUCACUUGUUCUUUAAAUGAGGACUAGUAUGAAUGGCACCACGAGGGUUAUACUGUCUCCUCCAUCCAAUCAGUGAAACUAAUCUCCCCGUGAAGAAGCGGGGAUAUUACUAUAAGACGAGAAGACCCUAUGGAGCUUUAAACUUCCCUUCAAACGCUAAAUACCUUUUAAUAAGUCACUGACUUUAUUACAUAUACCCAAGCGUCCUGAAGGCGACUUUUAGGUUGGGGUGACCGCGGAGCACAAAACAACCUCCAUGAUGAACAGCUUUUUUUAAGCCUUGAACAAAGGACUACAACCCAAUGUACUAAAAAACUAACACUCAUUGACCCAAUAUAUUUUGACCAACGAACCAAGUUACCCUAGGGAUAACAGCGCAAUCUACUUCAAGAGUCCCUAUCGACAAGUGGGUUUACGACCUCGAUGUUGGAUCAGGGUAUCCCAGUGGUGCAGCCGCUACUAAUGGUUCGUUUGUUCAACGAUUAAAACCCU
rnacentral:rRNA from 1 species